rnacentral:lncRNA from 1 species
AAGUUCCACCAACUGUGUUUUGCCAGAAGUAAUUUUUGAUGAUUUUUUUUAGCGAUUUUUUUGGCAAAGUCCUAGUGGAAUAAUACUCUCAGUCAGGUUAUCCCGUCUCUCCUGUGUGAUUAAUGAAAUUAGGUAUC